rnacentral:tRNA from 1 species
GUCUUAAUAGCUUAAAGGUAAAGCAUUACACUGUUAAUGUAUUGAUCCUAGUUCGAUUCUAGGUUGAGACG